GGAAAUUGAAGGUCAAAGAAGCCCCCGGAGCUCAGGUAAGGCUCUGACCUUUCUUUCUCUCGCUCUUCCCUUUCUCCUCUGGCCCCAAACUUCGCUGCCGGCGGGCCGAUUUUGCCAGAAAUCGAGAAGAAAAGAAGACCCUGUUUUGCUCUGUUCGGCCGAGCCAUCUCCCUCCCUUUUCGGGCCACCAGCGCCGCUAUCCAUGGUGCCGCACCCCUAGGUUUGGACCCCCACCUCUCUGCCUAUGUUUUCCGAAGGUCAUGGCCGCCGGUGAUCGGCCAAUGACCGGAGAAAUUCAAGAAAAAAGGGG
rnacentral:lncRNA from 1 species